AGAUUGUUCCCCUUAAUGAUAUUUAAGAGACAGACAAUGUGGCCUAACAUUGUCCAUUGCCUAGCAGCCUGUCAUGAAUCGAGGUGAAAAAAAGGCAGACCGCUGUUUCUCCGGCCGGCCAGCCACGUUCCAGGGCGAUGGGGAUUCUGCUGCAUCAACAUGCUAUUACAUGGAAAGGUGUGCUCCUCUCAUCAUCAGACAACAGCCUUUGUUUUAGUGAAGCAUAACAUCAUCUGUUAAAAGAUCAGCAGGUACUUUCUCAUGCAUCGAUCCUGUGUUCGUAGUAUCAAUUUAUUUAUAUAAUAAUGCAUGCCUUUGGAGUUCGUUAGUGCCGUGCCAAGACUAGGGAAUAGUGUUGGAUCCAGCAGGAUCAACUAGCUCUAGUUUGAGCCACAAAAGAAUAAGAUCAGAAAUACCUUGAUCUGAAGAUGAUGCCAUGUCUCCUCUUGUUUAAUUGCUCACACCAAAAUGGAGCAACUUGUGCUUGAUUCUUCCCA